rnacentral:rRNA from 1 species
GACGAACGCUGGCGGCGUGCUUAACACAUGCAAGUCGAACGGAAAGGCCCUGCUUGCAGGGUCCUCGAGUGGCGAACGGGUGAGUAACACGUGGGUGAUCUGCCCUGCACUUCGGGAUAAGCCUGGGCAACUGGGUCUAAUACCGGAUAGGAGCCAUUUUUAGUGUGAUGGUUGGAAAGUUUUUUCGGUGUAGGAUGAGCUCGCGGCCUAUCAGCUUGUUGGUGGGGUAAUGGCCUACCAAGGCGGCGACGGGUAGCCGGCCUGUGAGAGUGGACGGCCACAUUGGGACUGAGAGACGGCCCAGACUCCGACGGGAGGAAGCAGUGGGGAAGAUUGCACAAUGGGCGCAAGCCUGAUGCAGCGACGCCGCGUGGGGGAUGACGGCCUUCGGGUUGUAAACUCGUUUCGCGAGGGACGAAGCUUUUUGUGACGGUACCUAGAGAAGAAGCACCGGCUAACUACGUG